rnacentral:rRNA from 1 species
UACGUAGGGUGCAAGCGUUAAUCGGAAUUACUGGGCGUAAAGCGUGCGCAGGCGGCUAUGCAAGACAGAUGUGAAAUCCCCGGGCUCAACCUGGGAACUGCAUUUGUGACUGCAUAGCUAGAGUACGGUAGAGGGGGAUGGAAUUCCGCGUGUAGCAGUGAAAUGCGUAGAUAUGCGGAGGAACACCGAUGGCGAAGGCAGCCCCCCUGGGCUAACACUGACGCUCAGGCACGAAAGCGUGGGGAGCAAACAGG